rnacentral:piRNA from 1 species
UGCAAAGCAUCUUAUUGUGAGAAUUGGA